rnacentral:piRNA from 1 species
AAGAAGUUUCCAUAAUUCUGCCGUCCCUUU